rnacentral:rRNA from 1 species
CUACCAUGCAAGUCGAGCGUGAAAGUCCUUCGGGAUGAGUAAAGCGGCGGACGGGUGAGUAACGCGUGAGAAUCUGCCCUACAGUGAAGAAUACCUUCGAGAAAUUGAAGUUAAUACUGCAUACGUCCCUACGGGGAGAAAGGUGGCUUUAUGCUAUCGCUGAAGGAUGAGCUUGCGUACUAUUAGCUAGUUGGUGGGGUAAUGGCCUACCAAGGCAUUGAUGGUUAACCGGCCUGAGAGGGUGUACGGUCACAUUGGAACUGAGACACGGUCCAGACUCCUACGGGAGGCAGCAGUGAGGAAUAUUGCACAAUGGGCGAAAGCCUGAUGCAGCGACGCCGCGUGGAGGAUGAAGGUCUUCGGAUUGUAAACUUCUGUUAAGUGGGAAGAAAAAGGCAUUCUUAAUACGAAUGCAUAUGACGGUACCACUAGAGAAAGCACCGGCUAACUUCGUGCCAGCAGCCGCGGUAAUACGAAGGGUGCAAGCGUUAUUCGGAUUGACUGGGCGUAAAGUGUGUGUAGACGGUGUGUUAAGUCUGUUGUUAAAUUCCCUGGCUCAACUAGGGGCAAGCAAUGGAUACUAAUGCGCUAGAGGAUGGGAGAGAGAAGUGGAAUUCUCGGAGUAGCGGUAAAAUGCGUAGAUCUCGAGAGGAACACCAAUGGCGAAGGCAGCUUCUUGGUCCAUUUCUGACGUUGAGACACGAAAGCGUGGGGAGCAAACAGGAUUAGAUACCCUGGUAGUCCACGCCGUAAACGAUAAUCACUAGACGUCAGUCCGGCUUUGCUGGAUUGGUGUCGAAGCUAACGCGUUAAGUGAUUCGCCUGGGGAGUACGGUCGCAAGAUUAAAACUCAAAUGGAAUUGACGGGGGUCCGCACAAGCGGUGGAACAUGUGGUUUAAUUCGACACUACGCGAGGAACCUUACCUAGGCUUGACAUGCAUUUGACAGUUGUAGAAAUACAAUCUUUUAAGCUUC